ACACUCAGAAUCAAAACAACCCAAAAAUAAGAACGCCAGCGCAUCAAAACAAAGUUCGGAUGUCUUUCUUAAUUUUGGGCUGCUGUCAAUAUACCAAAAUCAAAGUUCGAAGCUCGAACUGAAUACCCCAAAAAAAUUUCCCUUUGUUUUCAGUUAGUUUCGUUUUGUUCCCAAACACAAGUCGGUCACUUUGGAAAAAAAUGUCUGGAUUGGAUUGGAUCGUAAGGUAAUUUUGAUUUAAUUAUAUAAAUUUUUAUUCUAAAACAGAAUUUUCCAGACGUGUCCAGCUCAUCUGUUGCAUUUGCUUCAGGCGGAUUUGGAAUAAUGAGCAAUCUAACCUAAAAAUGGAACAAAAAUAACUGACCGGAAGUCGGGGGGAGGAAGAAUGUAUUCGCCAAUGGAAACGUCCAUUUACUGUAAUCCGGAGCACCAAAAAACAUUUGUUUAUAUCCAAAAUAGUCUCUGUUGCAUGAGAAAACACACGAACCAUAACCGAUGUUUUGGAAACGAUUCAGCAGUUCCGGUUACUACGAAGAUCCAUGAGGUUCCAGCUGAAUGACCGGAUCCAUCGUUCAGAUCAAUCCGAAAUUUUCGAUCAAUUACGUUCGUUGGCAGUACUCUUUCUCUCCGGACCGGCGAAAAUAUUGUGCCUUCCGAUGGCAAAAAGUCUGGUUUUAUUAAGUUGCGUUCUCGAUAUGUGAAAAAAGUAUAAUUCCUGCAUGCCAUGGUCACACGAUUGAAACAAUUUUUUUUUAAUAAAAUAAAUAUAUUGAUCAUAAAUUAAAAAAAAUAUUCAUUAAAAAUGUAUACUCCCUUUUAAUAAGCGGUUCUUGAAACCAAAAAUCCCUCCCGAAUGACAUGCCCCAAAAUUAAGUUGUGAGAAUGACGUUUAUUCUCAAGUUUGGGAAAACCCCCUCAAACUCAUUUUCGUCGGGAGCCAGUUUCAUCCGAUUUUGCGGCAUUCCAACUUGGUUUUGGGUUAUAACGCCCUAGAGUGUAU